rnacentral:misc_RNA from 1 species
AAGUCGUAACAAGGUUUCCGUAGGUGAACCUGCGGAAGGAUCAUUACUGAGUUCAUGCCCUAACGGGUAGAUCUCCCACCCUUGAAUAUAUAAAUCUUUGUUGCUUUGGCGGGCCGCCUCGGCUACCGGCUCCGGCUGGUGAGUGCCCGCCAGAGAACCUUAAACUCUGAAUUACAGUGUCGUCUGAGUACUAUAAAAUAGUUAAAACUUUCAACAACGGAUCUCUUGGUUCUG